rnacentral:rRNA from 1 species
GUGAGGAAUAUUGGUCAAUGGACGAGAGUCUGAACCAGCCAAGUCGCGUGAAGGAAGACGGUUCUAUGAAUUGUAAACUUCUUUUGUGCAGGAAUAAAGUGGGUUACGUGUAACCUUUUGUAUGUACUGUACGAAUAAGGAUCGGCUAACUCCGUGCCAGCAGCCGCGGUAAUACGGAGGAUCCGAGCGUUAUCCGGAUUUAUUGGGUUUAAAGGGUGCGUAGGUGGAUUGAUAAGUCAGCGGUGAAAGUUUGCAGCUUAACUGUAAAAUUGCCGUUGAAACUGUCGGUCUUGAGUGCAAAUGAGGUAGGCGGAAUGUGUUGUGUAGCGGUGAAAUGCUUAGAUAUAACACAGAACUCCGAUUGCGAAGGCAGCUUACUGGGAUGCAACUGACACUGAUGCACGAAAGCGUGGGUAGCGAACAGGAUUAGAAACCCUUGUAGUCC